rnacentral:rRNA from 1 species
UACGAAGGGGGCUAGCGUUGCUCGGAAUCACUGGGCGUAAAGCGCACGUAGGCGGAUCUUUAAGUCAGGGGUGAAAUCCCAAGGCUCAACCUUGGGACUGCCUUUGAUACUGGGGAUCUCGAGUCCGGAAGAGGUGAGUGGAACUGCGAGUGUAGAGGUGAAAUUCGUAGAUAUUCGCAAGAACACCAGUGGCGAAGGCGGCUUAC